rnacentral:rRNA from 1 species
GACGAACGCUGGCGGCGUGCUUAACACAUGCAAGUCGAACGGUGAACCUCUUCGGAGGGGAUCAGUGGCGAACGGGUGAGUAACACGUGGGCAACCUGCCCCCGGCUCUGGGAUAACUCCAAGAAAUUGGGGCUAAUACCGGAUGUUCACCGCUUCCCGCAUGGGUGGUGGUGGAAAGGGUUUCCGGCUGGGGAUGGGCCCGCGGCCUAUCAGCUUGUUGGUGGGGUAGUGGCCUACCAAGGCGACGACGGGUAGCCGGCCUGAGAGGGUGACCGGCCACAACGGGGACGGACCCCCGGCCCGACCCCCGCGGGGGGGAGGGGGGGGGGAUUUUGCGCAAUGGGGGGGAGCCCGACCGCGGCGACCCGGGGUGGGGGAUGACGGCUUUCGGUUUUAACCCCUUUUCCAGCGGGCACGAACCAAAAGGGAGGUACCCUGAAAAAGAGCCCCCGCCAAACUCCGCC